rnacentral:rRNA from 1 species
GAUCAUGGCUCAGGAUGAACGCUAGCUACAGGCUUAACACAUGCAAGUCGAGGGCAGCACAGUGUAGCAAUACAGUGGGUGGCCGACCGGCGCACGGGUGCGUAACGCGUAUCCAACCUUCCCGUUACUCUUGGAUAGCCUUCCGAAAGGGAGAUUAAUACAAGAUGGUAUUCAAAUUCCGCAUGUUAUUUGAAUUAAAGAUUUAUCGGUAACGGAUGGGGAUGCGUGACAUUAGAUAGUAGGCGGGGUAACGGCCCACCUAGUCUACGAUGUCUAGGGGUUCUGAGAGGAAGGUCCCCCACACUGGAACUGAGACACGGUCCAGACUCCUACGGGAGGCAGCAGUGAGGAAUAUUGGUCAAUGGCCGGGAGGCUGAACCAGCCAAGUAGCGUGAAGGAUGAAGGUUCUAUGGAUUGUAAACUUCUUUUAUACGGGAAUAACAUCACCUACGUGUAGGUGCCUGCAUGUACCGUAUGAAUAAGCAUCGGCUAACUCCGUG